rnacentral:rRNA from 1 species
UACGUAGGUGGCAAGCGUUGUCCGGAUUUACUGGGCGUAAAGCGUAUGUAGGCGGAUGCUUAAGUAGGAAGUGAAAGGUUCGAGCUCAACUCGGACACUGCUCCCUAUACUGGGCGUCUUGAGGGUCGGAGAGGAAAGCGGAACGACACGUGUAGCGGUGAAAUGCGUUGAUAUGUGUCGGAACACCAAUGGCGAAGGCAGCUUUCUGGACGAUUUCUGACGCUGAGAAUACGAAAGCCGAGGUAGCGAACAGG